AGCGAACGCUGGCGGCAGGCCUAACACAUGCAAGUCGAACGAACCUUUCGGGGUUAGUGGCGGACGGGUGAGUAACACGUGGGAACGUGCCUUUAGGUUCGGAAUAACUCAGGGAAACUUGUGCUAAUACCGAAUGUGCCCUUCGGGGGAAAGAUUAAUCGCCUUUAGAUCGGCCCGCGUCUGAUUAGCUAGUUGGUUGAGGUAAUGGCUCACCAAGGCGACGAUCAGUAGCUGGUCUGAGAGGAUGAUCAGCCACAUUGGGACUGAGACACGGCCCAAACUCCUACGGGAGGCAGCAGUGGGGAAUCUUGCGCAAUGGGCGAAAGCCUGACGCAGCCAUGCCGCGUGAAUGAUGAAGGUCUUAGGAUUGUAAAAUUCUUUCACCGGGGACGAUAAUGACGGUACCCGGAGAAGAAGCCCCGGCUAACUUCGUG
rnacentral:rRNA from 1 species